AUUGAACGCUGGCGGCAUGCCUUACACAUGCAAGUCGAACGGCAGCACGGGAGCAAUCCUGGUGGCGAGUGGCGAACGGGUGAGUAAUAUAUCGGAACGUGCCCAGUCGUGGGGGAUAACGCAGCGAAAGCUGUGCUAAUACCGCAUACGAUCUACGGAUGAAAGCGGGGGAUCGCAAGACCUCGCGCGGUUGGAGCGGCCGAUAUCAGAUUAGCAAGUUGGUGGGGUAAAGGCCCACCAAGGCGACGAUCUGUAGCUGGUCUGAGAGGACGACCAGCCACACUGGAACUGAGACACGGUCCAGACUCCUACGGGAGGCAGCAGUGGGGAAUUUUGGACAAUGGGCGCAAGCCUGAUCCAGCAAUGCCGCGUGCAAGAUGAAGGCCUUCGGGUUGUAAACUGCUUUUGUACGGAACGAAACGGCCCUUUCUAAUACAGGGGGCUAAUGACGGUACCGUAAGAAUAAGCACCGGCUAACUACGUGCCAGCCGCCGCAGUAA
rnacentral:rRNA from 1 species